GAUUACAUCAUCUAUGUGACAUUUGUUGUUGAAGAGGAUGGAGGGCGUUAUAUAAAUGCAAGAGACACGUUCAAUGGAUGACUGCUGGCAUGCUUUCAAACGAGAGGAUGGAGGGUGUUAUAUAAAUGCAAGAGACACGUUCAAUGGAUGAAUGCUGGCAUGCUUUCAAACGAAUGAUAACAUGAAUCAUUUGAGUGAGUACACAUCAAAAUAAAAGAGAUAAUGAAACAUUAAAGUUUGAAGGAGAAUUUAGCUAACACUUUUAUUUGAAAUGACUUAUGAUUAUGAUAUUUGGGUCGUCUUUGAAUGGAUGAAAAAUAAAUUAUCGUGCAUCACUCAGAUUUUAUUACGGUUAAAAUAUAAUUAAAUAGAGUAUAGUAUAAUAUUUGUCUCAAUUAAACCGUAAUUAAAUAGGAUAUUUAUUUUUUAUCUUGGAUUAAAUUACAAAUAAUCUAUAAAGGAUAUCGAAAAAUUUGAGAUACUGUUCGUAUCAUGUUGAGAGCCAUGUUCUAAUUUUCAAGCUCUUUAUUAUUUAAUUCCUUAACUAUCUAAUGUUACGAAAA
rnacentral:lncRNA from 1 species